AUAAAGUGGCGCACGGGUGAGUAACACGUAAGUAAUCUACCCUCGGGUGGGGAAUAACGUCGGGAAACCGACGCUAAUACCGCAUAAUGCAGCGGCACCGCAAGGUGACAGUUGUUAAAGGAGUAAUCCGCCUGGGGAGGAGCUUGCGGCAGAUUAGCUAGUUGGUAAGGUAAUGGCUUACCAAGGCUACGAUCUGUAACCGGUCUAAGAGGACGGUCGGUCACACUGACACUGAAUAACGGGUCAGACUCCUACGGGAGGCAGCAGUCGGGAAUUUUGGGCAAUGGGCGAAAGCCUGACCCAGCAACGCCGCGUGAAGGAUGAAGUAUUUCGGUAUGUAAACUUCGUAAAAAUAGGAAGAAUAAAUGACGGUACUAUUUGUAAGGUCCGGCUAACUACGUGCCAGCAGCCGCGGUAAUACGUAGGGACCAAGCGUUGUUCGGAUUUACUGGGCGUAAAGGGCGCGUAGGCGGCGUGACAAGUCACUUGUGAAAUCUCCGGGCUUAACUCGGAACGGUCAAGUGAUA
rnacentral:rRNA from 1 species